rnacentral:tRNA from 1 species
AUUUUUGUAGUUGAAAUACCACAAUGGUUUUUUAUGCCAUAGGUUAUGGUUAAAAUCCAUGCUAAAAUA